rnacentral:rRNA from 1 species
UACGAAGGGGGCUAGCGUUGUUCGGAAUUACUGGGCGUAAAGCGCGUGUAGGCGGGUCUUUAAGUCAGGGGUGAAAUGCCAAGGCUCAACCUUGGAACUGCCUUUGAUACUGGAGAUCUUGAGUCCGGGAGAGGUGAGUGGAAUUGCGGGUGUAGAGGUGAAAUUCGUAGAUAUUCGCAAGAACACCAGUGGCGAAGGCGGCUCACUGGCCCGGAACUGACGCUGAGACGCGAAAGCGUGGGGAGCAAACAGG